CGGUGCGAGCGGGGUGAGCGGACGGGCUCCUCCCUUCGGUGAUGCGGGGCGUGGGAGCGCUCGCUGAGUUUGGUGGGGGAGACCGCCGCUGGGGCUUUCCCUGGAAAACGAAUCCCCCGGGGUGGCAGAAACGUCGGAGGUUCCGUUCCUGUAGCGCUGCUCGUGGUGCAAAUGCCAAAUGUACGCGAGAUCGCUGCUCCCGACUGGUUGCGCAGCCCGCGGAGAGGAGCGGAGAUAAUAACUGUUAGGAUACACUCCGACCCGCGGCGGAGCCAUCGCAGCCCCGCAUCACGAAAGGUCGCUGCGACGCCGGGCUGCCUGCGGUGGUGCACGGAGCUCUGCCCGGCUGCGGGAGUCGAGGCAGGUCCGCGGUGCACGUGGCUCGGAUGGAAGAACACAGGAGGCGUGCAGGCGCACACUCGCACGUGUGCCUGCCUGCACGCGUCCUCGGGCUCUGUCAGGCUCUCCCCAAAUCCCUUGCAGCCUCCACGAGCCCUCUGCGGAAGCUCUGAGGCUGCCGCCCGCUGCAGCAGAGCUCUGUCUUUGACCCCGCAGCGGUGGCGAUGAUGUCCUUCACGCAGGAGGGACUCCUGGAACCAAACGGCACCGGCUGCUGCAGUGGGGUGCUGUGCCACCCGUGUCAGACGACGGUGACAACGUGUGCUGCUCUUGGUGGGCCCUGGGUGCGUCCCUGUGCCACUUGGCUGCUCUCUCCCAGCCCGCUCCCACACGCAGGCUGCCUGCUGAGCUGCAGCCCCCCCUCACUUCCAGUUCCCGAGGCAGCGUGUGAGCACGGCUCUGCCAUACAGGAGGCCCAGCGGGGCGGUGGGGUGGACCCAGCCAGCACCUGUGUCUCCUAGCAGAGCACGCCCAGCUCGCAGCAGGACUGGCAUUAUUGGCUGAGCGGAACAGGCGGCUCCACCUGCAGCUCCAGCGUUCACCUCCUGCCCGGAUGCCCGGAGGGCUCGCAACACGCCAGCCCCACGCGUGGCCUGCACAGCUGCCUGCUGCCCUCGUGGAGGAGGAUUGCUGCCACCGGCAGGGCUUCUGCCCUCCAUCACCACGUCGGAGAUACGGGCUGUCACUGCCUGACGGGGGCUUAGCGAGAGAGCUGGAGAGAGCCGCAGUGUGCGGCUGUCUGAUCUCAAUGGCUGGUUUAUUUAUUUCUGUGGUAAACCCAGAGAGCGGGGGACUCGCCGUGCUUUUCUCUGGCACGAAUGGUCUGUGCUGUGUGAGCUAUCGGCUUAUCUAACAAGUCUGUGUGCUGCCGGCGGGAUUUUCCUUUAUCACGAUGCAUGCCUGCUCCUGCCGUCAGCGCGCUGUCAGAUUAGGCCAGCAGAGGCCAUUGUACUUUUCCAUAAUUGCUUGAAAUUUCAUUGUGCCGUGUGGAGCUGAGUUAUCGUGAGCACUGACAUCUCCCUCUCUUAUCAGACACGAAUAUCGUAGGAGACCACAUAAAACGUCUUGCAGAAGCUGAGUUGGACGACCACCAGCUCUUCACUUUUCAGUCCACUGCAGAAGGCCAGUAGUCUGGCAGGUCAGUAAUUGCCAGGACCCUCCCCAGGAGCCUUCUUACAAAUAUCUGUGAUGCUCCCGUUUCUCCAUUCAGUGGAGACUUGACCUGACAGCCGCGAGUUCUCAGAUGCGAUGGAGAGAGGCUGAGCAGCUACGUCAGCCACUUCCCUCAGGACCCUGGGAUGUAUCUCACCCACGGACCCCAUGGAACGCUGAGCUUUGGAUUCCAAUCUUCCCAACUGACUGGAAUACAGUGGAUUAAAAAAAAAAAGUAAGUUAAGGAGAAAUAAAAGCCAACAACCCUCAUCAAGCACCAUCCGCUGCUCCUUGGCACUUCCCCGCACAGACAGAGGUGUUUGCCUGUUUCCCGCAGCAGAGCAGAUACUGACGGGCCGCUCUCAUGUCUCCCAGAGCCUCCUCUUCUCCACGCUGCACAGCCCCAGCUCUCAGCCUGUCCUCCUAACGGAACGGAGCUGUUCCGUCCCUGGGAUCCUUUUUGUGGCCCUCCUCUGGAUGCGCUCCAGCAGCUCCACAUCCCUCCUGUGCUGAGGACCCCCCGUGCGGCUGCAGUACUGCUGGUGGCUUCGCACAUCCUGCUGAACCUCUUCCCUCCCACGUGCGAGCAGUCGGCCAUCCGCGGUGCUGCGUGUCGGUGUGCUCGCCUGGCAGUUCCCAAGUGUGACCACGGCACCCCGCGCUGCUCUGCGGUUCAGCGCCUGCACACCAGGCACGGUGUGCCCACUCGGCAUGCUGCGAGCCCUGUGCCUGCUCUGCCCAUCUUCGGCCUCUCCCUUUUCUUUCUUAUUUCUGCCUGAACGGGUUCGGAUGAGACGAGACCUCCCCGAGUGCACACAGUGCCUCCGCAGAGGCACGGAUCCACCGCAGAACGCUGAGCUCCCGCAGCACCCUUACGAGGUUUGGCCCGGCUGCUCGGUGCAAGAUUAAUUAACACAAUAUUUAAACGCAGCUCCAUCAGGAGUGCAAAACACUUCUAUGGAAAUCUCCGUCAGGAGCCGGCAGAAAUGAGAGUGUGCUUUACCUGGCGGAGCACAAUUAGACAAUUAGACAGUCAAAUAUUGUCCUGGUUAAAGACUAUUAAUUUUCCUUACAUUUGUCAUGAAUUAAUUUUUUUUUUCUUUUUUUUUUCCCCUGGCUGUAUAAACAGUGUUUCAUUUAUAAAUACAACCGCUUCCUUUACACUGAAAAAUUAAAUUUGCUCUGAUAAUGAACCGAGGUGCUAAUAAUCAUUUUGCAAUGCAAAAAAGUGCAAUUACUGCCCGCCGUGCCUCACAUUGGCGCCGACACAAAGCCUGUGGCUGCCAGCCUGGGCUCCGGGCAGCACCCGCUGCAUGGGACCACAGUGCUGUGCCUCUCCUGACCCUCACCAAAGCCGUGGGUCUCACAUCCGAGCUGCAGUGCCCACACGGAGGGGCACGGGCUUUGCACGACGCGUGCAGGCGAAGCUAUGGGACAAAAUGAAGAAGCACAGCGCACAGAAAACCCAGCAAAAUCUACUGCAAAGCUCUGAGCGCACAGUGGGACGAGGAGGAGGGAGAACCGUCUCUGGCCACGGGCCGGCAUGGAGGUAUCUCCUCUACAGUGGGACAUUUAGAGCUAAGCCCUUUGGAACGGGAUAACAGUGAAUUCUUAUGGGACCUCGUGCUUGGGAAGUCGCAGUGCCGGAGGCCAGCUCUCACAAAGAAAGGUGGAGAACAGCUGCAAUGAGAGGAGGAGACCCAUCUGUCCGAGGCAGGGCCAGGAGGGCACAGCAACGCCGCCAGCACAGCCCCGUUCUGACAUCAACUCAGUGGCCUCAGCAGUGAGCUCUCAAAUGCUGGAUGCUGCUCUUGCCUGGUGCUUCCUCUGGAUGCGGUGUGACAUCGGAGCGCGUCCCCUUUGUGCCUGCAGCUCAGGGCUCUGCUUUGGAGCACGCGAGGCAGCUCCGGGCAGGCAUGCAGCACUCUGGCAUUGGCAGCCACACAGGGCAGCUUCCAUCACCUGAAAUGCAUCAGUGCUCCCAUAGCUCCACGCAGCGCUGCUCAGGCAUGCCUGGUCAGAUGAAAUCCCACGUGAUUCUACCACACAUACGUACAAAGGCAUCAGCUAUUGUGUAUGCAUACGUGCCUAGUACAUACGUGAUUAUAAUAGACGUAUCCAUACAUUUUAGGCAGACGUCGGUGAAACGAAGGAUUCAAAGAGGAGCCCACCCAUCUGCUCCUCUCUGUUAAGAAAAAAAAAAGUCAUUAAUUCUUUCCCAAUGCACACAGGUAUCCCGCAGAGAAGCACGCCUCAAAUCGCAGCACUCCUUCCUUCCCCAGCCUUGCUGCAGCAAAUCAUAGACCGAACGCUCCCUUCUCCCCUCUUACUCCAGGGACGGCUGCCCCCAUUACCAAGCAAGACUGCAACCUUUUGAUCCAUCCAUCUUGUCUCUUCCACCCAGCCCAGGCUGAGCUACAGCCACUUAUUUAUUCACGCAAUGUAGGUUUCCUCAUGCUGCUUCACCAGUGCACAUCAGCUGUGACCUCGAGUCUCUGCCCUCUCCAGGGAUAAGCAUGUUUUUUAGUCCCAGGCAUCUCCGGAGCAAAGAGUGACAGUUCUUUAAGGGAGGGAGUAAAUAGCAGGUGGGAGGAAUGACAGGCUGAAGCACAUUUUAGCUUAAUAGGAUAAAAUGGAGCUUGAUGGAAGCAGCCCGGUCUGCAAGUCAUCAGGUGCAGAACGGAACUUCAGCGCCGUGCUUUCCUUUAAAUAGCCGCAAAUGUAGCAAGGUCUUUUGCUGGUAGAAAAUGCAUCAGUCCUUGUUGCUUUCAGCAUCCCACCCUCUCCAUCUAAUGCAAAUUCAACUUUGCUACUGUUGCACUAACCUCUGUACGAUUAAUUAGCUGCUCAACAGAAAGCCAAAUGAUAGUUACAGGAGGCAUGGACAGCAGCCUGCCAGGAUUAAAUGCCACCAGUUUUGGUUCAAAUAGCACAAGGAAGUGACCCAUAAGUGGAGCCCCGCACUGUGGUUAGGGAGAGCCGAGCACCUGGACUGCACACUUGGCAUGGGUUCACCAGCAGGUAAAGCAGAAACAACUCCCUUCCUUGUCCGUGCAGCUUACCGAUAGGCAGGGCACAGAUCUGCUCCUGGCUGGGUGUAUGCAGUGUCCAACACUGUGGGAUUCCAUCUCCUGGGAAAUAUGGUUCCUGCUACAGCCCUGCUGGUUGACAUGAGGAUAUUAGGAAGAUCGGAUGGGUAUUGGGAAGAAUUUCUCCUCCAAAAGAGCGUUCAGGCAGUGGCACAGCUGCCCAGGGAGGUGGUGGAG
ensembl:lncRNA